rnacentral:lncRNA from 1 species
GAGAAUCUUUUACUUAUUCCGCUGUGCUUGAAAAGAUUCUUAUGUUUGUUAUAUACUUAAAUAUGAACAAUACAACAUUAACCAGAAAAGUAUUUGAAAUAAAAAGGAUCUAUUCAACCCCCCCCCCCUUCUAGAUCUAUUGUGCCCUCUGGGAACUAACACAAUCCAUUAUGAGUCUUCAAAUACAUGGUACAGAAUUUAAAUACAAACUUCUUUAUACAAUACGACAAAAACCUAGCUGAGAGUUUUAACACAAAUAUUAUCCCGUAGACAAUAUUCAAACACAAAUGGAGUCCUCAUUACAAUUAUUAUCACACUAUUUUAUAAAAUAAUGAGGACUACAGUCACCAUCUCGAACCGUCACUCCAUUCCCCGACUAGUCCCGGCUACGUUCUCAUUUCCUGAAGAGAACAAUGAAAGUAAAUGGUGAGCUCAACUAGCCCAGUAAAAAUUAUUAUGACUAAGAUAAUGCAGAAUAAAUUAUCGUUAGCCUUCAACAGUGUUAAACUAAUAGAAUACAAUAAACAAUAAGUUUAACUGCAGCGGAACAAACAAUCCAUUAGAAGAGUCAAGUAGAGCAUGAUAUCUACUAUCUUUUAUGAUUUAAAAGUUCAUCAUCAAUAUUUUAUUAUUGUAUCACAUCUCAAUAAAUAAUCUACAUCACUGAAUUAUCCAUACACUAUGGGCUAAAGAUAUUCAUUAGUAUCACAUCCACGAAUCAUCCAUGCAUUACUGGCCAAACAAUGUUUUGAUAGCUUCAAUUUAGACUCUCUCUCUCUUUCUGAAUUUAGACUCUCUCUCUAUUUCUCUCUAGGCCACACAAUGAUUGAUAGCUUCAAUUCAAUUCCUUCUCUAGAAGGAAAUGAUUCUUUUAAUCCACUAAUAAAUAUAGAUUUAAACUAUAAAUUGUUUCAAUAAUAAUAAAUAAAUAAAAAUAGGGCACCUUUUUUAAUUUAGCAUUCAUGAGAAUCCUUAAAAUCCAUCACUAAUAUUUUUCUAUGUUAGCUAAUUUAUUGUAAAUUUAUUUUGGUAGUGCUGAGACAUAUAUACUCACACAUCCUAAAAAGAGAGUUUGUCUCUUAAAGAGAAUUGUUAUGGAGAGACCCUCCUCUAGACCACGCUUCUUGUGAUAUAAUAAUUUAUCCCUUCUUAUAGAGUUUAUUUUUUUUAUUUUGUAAGACUUAUUUUUUUUGGUUUAAAUAUGAAUUACUAUCCUGAACUAUAGGCCAUAUUCCAUUUCGGUGAUCAAAGUUUUAAUUUUUUCAAUUAGAUGAUUAAACUAUCAAUUUUUUCAAUUGAGGCUGCCACGUCAGAAAUUGCUGACAUGGUUCUUUGAGUAAGCCAUUGUUUAGCUGACGUGUAAUUAAAAAAGAGUAUUUUAAUAUUUGAUUACACAAUUAUUAUAUAUGAAAAGGCAAAAUUUUCAAGUACUUAAUUAAACCAAUUUAUAAAUAAAAAAGCAUCAGUUAGUGGAAAUCCAAAUCAAACAAUAUGUCGUGAGUUCCAUAGUCACUGUUGAAAAAAGUAGCCAAGCUCUGAAUAGUAUGAAUCGAUGAUGGGGAUUUUUGUGGUCGGAGAAGAGAGAAAAGGGGGCGAAAGAGGCGAAUGAAUGUUUUGUUGGUGGGAUUGAGAGGAACGUCUUUGGAGACAGAAAGGGGUGAGUUGGAAUCGGUGCGUUGACUGGGUUCGAGGUUUGGUGGAACGGACGGGAACAGUUCGUGUCGAUUUAGUGAGCCAUCUGGGUUUUGAACAAUGUUGAUGAGCUUGUAAGGGUUGAUAAUGGAGGGGGUUGAGGUGGAUUCUUUUGUCGAAAAAAAUAGUUCUUCAAUAGCCGAUUUUGAAAAGAAGAGGAAAAAAUUGAAGCUGAUUAUUCCUUGCUCCUUUAUGCGGACAAUGAUGGUUGUACAGAUCAGGAGGUUUAAGAAGGUGAUAUGGAUCUGGAAGGUUUAACCCAAUUACACAUAGGGUUUAAUUCCGUUGUAAGUUCGAUCGGCAAAUCGAAAAAGGCAUUGCUUACCGGAAAUCGAAUGGCUUGUGUUUAUAUUCCGGUACAGAACUCCGAGGAGGAGGUCAGAGUUGUUCUCGAUCAGCUUCCCAGAGAUGGUACUGAUAUUCUGGACAUCCUCAAAAUCGAACAAGCUUCGCUCGAUCUCUGGCUCAUUAUUGCGGUUCCCCCGUCUCCCUUCACGAACAAUUACUUUACUGCAUGUUCUUAGUUCUAAAGUUUUAGUUAUAAAUUUGUUUGCUUUUUAAGUUUUUUAUUAGUGAUAAAUUAGUUACAAAUGUUUGAUUUUUCUUCAUGCAGUUUGAAUUUUGGGCUGGUGCUUUUGUGACUGUUGGAAUUUUUUAUAUUUGAUAAAUUAUAAGUUCAUUCAAAGAUUUUUGAUAAAUUAUAAGUUCAUUCGAAGUGGUACGAAGAACAUGAGAUGGAAGAAUUUUUUUGUAUUGUAUGAUUGAUUUAAUGAUUUUUUACUGCAGAUCUUGAUCUUCAAUGUUUGGCUGAGAGGUGUUUUUGAUCGAUUUUUAAUGGUUUUAGAUUUUGUUGUUUUGAUUGAUUUGAUCAAUUUUUGAUUGUUUGGAAGUUUUAAUUAGUUUUGAUGUAUUAAGUGAAUAGGGUGUGACCAUUUUAUCCUUCGAUAUAGCCAAUAUGUUUUAUCACAAUUUAAGAAACUAUUUUUUUAUACAGAUCAGCUGAGAUGUGUCCCACUAAGAUAGCCACAUCAGCAAUUUCUGACGUGGCAGGCUCAAUUGAAAAAAUUAAAAUUUUUUUGAUAGUUCAAUCAUCUAAUUGACAAAAUUUAAACUUUGAUCAUCAAAGUGGAAUAUGACCUAUAGUUUAGGAUACUAAUUCAUAUUUAAGCCAUUUUUUUAAUGAUAUGACUAAUUUCUUCUCUUUUAUGAGAGAGUUUUAGUAUCAUCUCUUAGGAGACUUUGCUUUCUCCAUUUGGGAGAUUAUUUUGUUCGUUCGUGAGGAUUUUAUGGUACGUAGAUUGUUCAAAUUUAGGUGUGAUCAGUGGUGUUAUCCUAACGACCGGUUCUUCAUUCACUCAUAUUGAAGAAUUAUUUAGAUCGUAUCCUGUUAUUACUUUUGAAAUAUAAUUAUUUUUCAGAAGUAUAUAUGGUGUCCACUAGUUGUUACGAUUGGCCCUUUUCUUGAUUAUCUGUUAUUUUGUUUGAAAGAUUACUUUUUCAAUUCUUUGUUUUGUAUUCUUUUCCUCAUUUGUAACCGUUUAUAGUUUCAAUAUAUUUCAGUCGAUUUGACUGUUUAUUAAAAAAUAAAAAUAAAAACUAAAUAUAUUUAAAAAAAAACUCUUUAUAAUAUAAUUUUAUCUAAUUCUAACUUUACUCUCCGACUUUCUACUCUUUUACUUAUUUUAAAUUUUAUGCUAUAACAUAAAAAAAAUUAACAUUCUUUUUCUAUUUUUUUCUCUUCUCAAUUUACAGGCAAUAAGAAAUAAAAUAAUUUUCUCUUCACAAAAUAUCAUAUACUCCCACUCUUUUAAGCUUAAAGUCAGACCUUUUAAAGUCAACUAAUUGAGAUGAAUUUAAAUUCAAAAAUUGAUGUAAUUCAUUCAUAUUUUAAUAACAAUAAAUUUUGUAAUGAAUAGUUUUUUAUAUAUAAUUUUUAACAUUCAUAGUUGUAUUAACUUAAAUUUAAAAUUUUUAAAUUUAAAAAUAUGUCAAUUAAACUGAAACUUCCUAAGAAAAAAAAUCAAAAUAACUUGUACUAUAUUUUAAUUUAAGAGAGACUAUUGAAAGACAUGUCAUAAGAUUUUGUUAAUAAUACACUUAAUUAUGAGAUUAUAUUAUAUUUUUCAAAAAUAAGACUUAAAAAAAGUCAAGAAAGUUUUAAUUUUAUAUUAAAAGAGCCAUGUAACAUAUGCCACAAAAUUUAAAGGAAUGAUUCACAUCAUAUCACAAUUAAAUGAGAAAAGAAUGAUUCACAUCCUACAAAUGCAGAUAAUUCUAUAGCCGAAGUAUGAGUAUAUGUUAUAAAAUAUGUCUUAACCACCACUUAGAAUAUUUAAAUGGAAACAAUGGGGUGAAUGAUUAGAUGGUCAAAAAGGUGACUUCAGAAUAGAAUGACUUCAUAAAUGGAAUGAGAAUAGCAAUGAAUUAAUUCAUUCUAUCAGAAAUAAAAUUUCCAUUCUAUUUUAUGGGUUUAGUUUACAUGAAUUAAUUUAUGAAUUAAAUAUAAAAUAAUCUUUUUCGGUUUUUAUAUACUACAAACUUAUAAAAUAAAUAAAAAAAUAAAUUAAAUAGAUCUAAAAAACAUUUUCACUAGAAUCUUGAAUACUUGGCUCAAUAUUUGUUUUAGAUAUAUUUUUAUACAUUUUUCUCCACUUUCUCUUAUUCUUUUUGGCACUUCUCUCAGAAUCUUGACUACUUGGCUCCAUAACUAAUAAAUAAAAAAAAUAAACUCAUUUCAUAACCAGUCUAUGAAACAAAUUUGUAUAUAAUUAUUACUAAAUAUAUAGCAUAGUUUAUUAUUCAUCAAAGUACAAGAGAUUCAAGAUACGAUACUCACCCUCUUAUUUAUUCAUCAAGUACUAGGAAUACAUAAUGCAUAAAUAUUUUAAAAACAAUCACUACCAAUAAUUAUUCAAAUUUAAAAUCCUGAACAUAAUAUAAUAACAAUUUUUAAUGAGGAUAAUAAAAUAAAAUCACAAAGUACGAUUAUUAAAAAGUUAAAAAUAUAUCUAGGACAAUUAUACUUAGACUUCACUUGGUUCAUACCUGCAAUGAAAGUUUUGAAUGCUUUUGUCCCAAAAUACAAAACAUGUACUGCAAAGAAAAGCAUAUGCAAAUGUAUAAAUAUUAUAGGGUUUAAGGAUGACAAUUUUGUAAAACAUUUACUGCAAAGAAAAGCAUAUGCAAAUGUAUGCAAUUAGAGCUUGCUUAAACAUAAUAGUUGCACCAAAUUGCAUCUUUUCAAGAAAUUGAAACUAAAUGUUUGAACUUGGCACUAGUUAAUAUAAUAAUAAAAAAACUUGAUUCCAAGAAAGAUGACUGAACAGAUCCAAAGUUGAAGCAGAAAAGGAAUGGAGGCACCACCAGUGUAAUGAGACAUGGAACAUUCACAUAUGCUAAAGUGCUUUUUGCUAACAUCAAACAAUAUAGGUUGAUAUAAACUGGAAUCAGGAAAUUUCAGCAGUUGGUGUUCCAUUCCAUCCAACCAAUUAUUAUUCAUUCAAUAUGAGGUUUGGAUUCAUUUAAUGCAUUCCCCUUCCUACUGGAGUAUGUAUAUAUUUCAGUUUAAAAGUCUGGUUCAGUCAAGCUAAAUACUAAUAUGACUUUACACUUCCUAUAUUUCACUAUAACCUACUUUCCAUUAGUAAACUCACACAAAUGAGCAUCUUGGCAGCUAGUAGAAUGAAAGAUAUAUGGGUUAUACUACCUCACCACAACUCCUAAUAAAGGCACAACAGUACAUUCAAUUGCAACAGUUCCUAGUUUUCUCAUGUAUACAAUCGGUUUCCUACUCAUGCACAAUGUUUAUUUAAGUUUGUCCCAUAUUAUUUUAAGUUCCUCUAAAACUAGAGAAUUGGCUAGAUUCAUCUUCUUUUUUCCCUUUAAAAAGAGGCAAACAAUAUGACAAAUUAUGUCAAAAUUUGAAAUAAAAUAUAAUAGUUAAAAGCAUGUGAACUCAUUCUGAAAGUAGCAAGAAAAAUCAACAACUACCCGGGAAAAAUAUUUAAAUUUGCAGAAUAUAUUAAUUCACUAGCUUAAAAAGAAAAACAAGAUUUUAGCUUUAUAAGGGAAAAAACAAAAAGAAAUCUAUGAAAUGUCAUUGUUUUCUUUCAGCCACAAACCAUAAUAAGACUGGAGCCGUAAUUAUAGGCUUCAAGAAAUUAAAGUCUAGUUGAGAAAAGAGAGGAGAAUGACAAUUGAAUAAAAUUAAAUAAUUCAAUGCCAUGCCAUGCCAUGCCAGGCCAGGCCAACAACUUCAAUUGAGACUGAUCUGUUCCAAUUGUACAUCCAGAAUCAAGUUGCCCGGAAACCACCAUUCCUUGAAUUACGACAAAAUGGUUCAACUCUUUCAACAGUACAAUCAAUUUGAUCAAACCACUUUGGGCAUGCAAGGUAUAGUACCAACAAUAUUAACCAACUUUCCAAGCAAAAUAUAUGAACCCAACUUCAACUCCAGAAACAGCAAAAGCCCCUUUCAACGGCUCCAGUCUUAUUAUGGCUUUAUAAGGGAAAAAGUAAAAGAAAUCUAUGAAAUGUCAUUGUUUUGUGUUUUCCCUAUUCUAAUCUUUAUAGCAUCAAUACAUCAAACAUGUGGUGCAUAUAUAACCAAAAUCAAAAUUGAUUGAGCACAAAAAUCACCAAAUAUAACCAAAAUCAGAUUUGAUCAAGUACAAAUGGAUGAACAAAGUGAAGAAAUCACAAAUAAGUAAACUGAAGUUAGAUGUCUUACCUAAUUGAAAGAGAACAGCAGAAGAACCCUAGAAAAUAAAAAUUAUGCGAUCAAUUUUUGUUAGAAAUUAGGACCACACGCGCACGACAAUAGAGAAUUAACACCGAAAAUUUAUGUGAUUCUCCAAUUUGGGUACUUCAGUUGUAUUUAUAAUAUCCCAACAAUUUUAGAGGAGAUGGAGGAGAGAAUGGUAAGGACAGAAAAGAGCGAGAAGAGAAAGAAAGAAGAGAGAACAGAGAGGAGAGAAGAGAGACAUGUACCUGUAAUGGAUGCCAUGAGAAGAGACCGAAGCUAUUGAAGGCGAUCGAUCAAUCGAUGGUUAGUCUCGAUUGAGUGAGGCUUAGCACGGAAUGAAAUAAACUUAGCUAUUAAGAAGGGAAUGAAAAUUAACAUUAUAAUUGGGAAGGGAAUAAGUAAAGGAAUGAAAUGUUCAUUCUAAAUAGUUAACCAAACAUAUUUUAAGUUAUUCUCGAAGGAAUGUUCAUUCCAUUCCCAGUUCAUUCCAUUCCAUAGUCUGAUUAAAAUUUUAUUUCUAAAGUUGUUGUAUUUUGGCUUAAGAAUGUGGCACAUUUAGGCUAUAAAGCCAUUGUCAACUACCAAAUUAGUCUAUAAAUAUUUGAUGAUAGCCUAAAAAGUUGAGAAACGCGUAAGGGAAUGGUGAAAAAAU